AGUUUACCGGCUGAGCCGGUGGAAUUACCCGUUGCUGCCAGUUACCUACCGCUCCUCCUCCUCGUGUCUCUCUCUCCCCGCCAUCAUCAGAUCUUCUCUGAGAAAACGGAGGAAUAGAAGAAGAGAGAAGAAGAUGAAAGAGAGAGCAGCACGCCUAUACAGAGAACCUAACCCUCAAGAAGAAGAAGAAGAAGAGGAAGAAGAAGAAGAAGAUGAUGAAGACGACGACGACGACGGUGAUGAUGAGGAUGAAGAAGAGGAUGACAGGAAGGAAAAUCUCAAUCUUACAGUUGUUGGUCAUGAACGUAACCCCAUGGAAACCACCCCAAACCAAUAUCACCUGUUGAAUAGAUCCCAUUCCAGUUCAGAAGAUGUUGGAACCGAUGCAGGUGAAGACAAUAAAACAAUGGACAAUUCCCUAGGGAGGGAGCUGAUUGUAUCCCAAGGAAUCUCGAAUCUUGAACCGCGUGUUGGUAUGGAAUUUGAUUCUGAAGAGGCAGCGAGGAUAUUCUACAAUGCAUAUGCUCGGCGUGUGGGGUUUAGCAUUCGUGCAAGUGACUUCUAUCGCUCUAAGCGCACUGGAAAGCUCACCUCUCGCAAAUUUGUAUGUGCAAGAGAGGGUUUUCAUAAAAGGAAAGACAUGCUCAAACGGCCGCGUGCAAGCAACAGGGAAGGUUGCAAGGCGUCGAUGCAAGUCAAGAAACAAGAUUCUGGGAAGUGGGUUAUUGUAAAAGUUCUAAAGGAUCACAAUCAUGAAUUGGCUGCUUCCAAAAAAGUGCAUUCACUUCGAUCUCAUAGGCAUUUAUAUCAUGCGGCGAAAAGCUUGGUCGAGUCAUUUGAAGAAGCGGAAGUAGCCUCCGGUCGCACUAGAUCAAUGUCUAGGGAAAAAUCUCAUUUCACCGAGCGGGAUUGUGGAAAGUCUAUUAGAAGUGGCCAGCAGAGUAGUCUUGGAAGAGAUGCUCAGAAUCUCCUUGACUAUUUCAAGCGUGUGCAAGCUGAGAAUCCUGCAUUCUUCUAUGCUAUACAAGUUGAUGAGUGUCAGUGUAUGAGAAAUGUUUUCUGGGCUGAUGCAAGAUCUAGGAUGGCUUACAAAUACUUUGGUGAUGUGGUCAACCUUGACAUGACAUAUAAGAUGAAUCAGUAUCGAUUGUCAUUUGUUUCAUUUACGGGAGUUAAUCAUCAUCUACAAACAGUGUUGUUUGGAUGCGCACUUCUAACAGAUGAAUCUGAAUCUUCUUUUGUUUGGCUAUUUAACACAUGGGUUGCAGCUAUGUCCCGACGGCAUCCAAACACGAUAGUUACGAAUCGAGAUAAAUGUGUUCGGGCAGCGAUUGCACGGGUUCUUCAGGGAACCCGUCACUGUUUUUGCAAGUGGCAUGUAAUAAGGGAAGUUCUAGAGAAGGUGUCUCCUGUAUUUCAUGCACAUCGAAAUUUUGAACCGGAACUCAAUAAGUGUAUCAACCUCACAGAGACAAUUGACGAGUUUGAAUUAAGUUGGGGGUCACUCCUUAAUAGAUAUAAUCUUGGAGAGAAUGAAUGGCUUCAAUCACUGUAUGAUGUACGUCGACAAUGGGUGCCAGUGUACUUACGAGACACUUUCUUUGCACAAGUGUCCACAACCCAUCAAAACGAAAAUAUAAAUUCUUUCUUUGAUGGGUAUGUGAAUGCACAAACAACUCUCCAAGAGUUUCUAAGGCAGUACGAGAAAGCUCUAGAGAGUUGUUACCAGAAAGAAGUUGAAGCGGACAUGGAAACAAUUCACACCAAACCGUUUUUGAAGACAGCAUCACCUAUAGAAAGACAAGCAGCAGGUCUUUAUACGAGGAAAAUAUUUAUGAAAUUUCAGGAGGAGCUAUUUGAAACAUGUGCUUAUAUUGCAGACAAAUUUGAGGAAGAUGGGGCUGUGAACUUGUAUAAGGUGGCGAAAUUCGGAGAAGACCACAAGGCUUGCACCGUUGCAUUUAAUAUUUCUGAGCUAAUGGCAAGUUGUAGUUGCAGGAUGUUCGAGUCUUCUGGCAUUCUUUGUAGACAUGUAUUAACGGUAUUCAGGGUAGUGAAUGUUCUUAGCCUCCCAUCCCAUUACAUCUGGAAAAGGUGGACACGAAAUGCUAAGAGUGGGAUUGCACUAGAUGAACGAGGAACUGAACGUGAAUCUUUAACCUUGCGAUACAACAGUCUUUUCCAAGGGGCCAUUAAACUUGCAGAGGAAGGGGCAACAUCUGUUGACAUUUAUGAUGUGGCAGUACGUGCUUUGCGAGAGGCUUUGGAUAAAGUUGCUGCUGCAAAAAAUAAUGUUGUGAGGGUUGUGCAUCAAGACACUCAGGCGUUUGAAAAUUAUCAUGGCGACAAUACCAGUGAAGGAAGUCAAGCGGAGAAUACAAUGGACCAAAUAUCACCAGAGCAAAUACCAAAAUCAAAAGGAAUCACGUUGAAUUCAAGAUUUAAGCCUGGGCUGGAGAAGGCCAUACGAAAGACAAGGACUUGUGUUAUAUGCAACCAGUCCAAUCAUAACUGUCGUAUCUGCCCAAAAUUGAAGGUCAUAGGGUCGAAAGCUAUUGGAGACAGUGAAAUGGGACACUCUUCUCGGGGCGUGUCUUACAUUGUGGGUCAAAGUAGCACCCAGGACAGCUGUACAAAAAGUUGCAGCAGGGAUGCUUAAUUCAGUGUAUUGGCUUGAGUUUCUUUAGAAGAGUUUUUCUGGGUUGCAUCUGGAAGACACUAAAGUCAAUAUGAUUCAUUAGCACCAAAACGUGUGUGAGGAAUUUUGUAAUAUCUUAUUACACCUGGGCUUGAAUAUGGAGGGAGAGUGUUGACAUGCUUGCUUUUGUUAUGGAGGACUUCAUUCUACAUCUGCAUAGCUGCCAGCUAAAACUGCCACACAGAAGAAUUUACUGUCAGAGUUGGCCUUGGAACAGUCCUUGCAGAUAGCCCUGUAGCAGUCCUUUGGGGCUAUUGGAUUGUGUAUUCCUGUUUUGUUCAUAUCAGAUUGUACUCAAAUACCAACUGUAGAGCAGCAAUGUAUAUAACGUGCACUGGUUAGGAGCUUCGAGCUAAGCUGCUGCGACAGUUUGGGAAAGAUACAAGUUUUGUGUGUGAUUCAAGUAUUGUAUGUCUACUUUAUUUCA